CCACCCCCUCCGAGCGCAAGAAAAGCACCCACCGCCGCGGCCUCGCCGUCCUCUCGUUUUUACAGCUCCCCUGCUCUGCUCGUCUCCGCCCCGAUUAGAUUUGCGGCUCGAUCAAUUAGAUUGAUCCGUUGCUAAUUAGAGCCUUUUUAAGUACGGGUUUACGGAGGCCUCUUGUUUCUUAACCAACACUACAAUACUCUACUCACUCAUCCAGAGACAGGAGUCAGGACACACAGAGAGAGAGAGAGAGAGAGAUUGGGUUUGGUUCCGUGUUCUUGGUGCCCUUUUCGCGUUGCGGAAGAUAUAAAAUUCCUCUUUUUACACUGCAUCCCCACUUAAUUUUGGCAGCCGCGGCACCCUUCGCUUCGCUUGCUGCCUUGCUGGUGUCCGAGCCUCCGCUUCGCCUUGCUGUCGGUCCUUCUGCCCCGCUCUGUCGCCGGCGCCGGGGGAGGGAGCUAGUCGGCGGGCGGGCGCGGCGCGCGGCGCCUGGCGCGGAUCGGCCGCGGGUGC
rnacentral:lncRNA from 1 species